UGNNAGUCGACGGCAGCACGGAGCUUGCUCUGGUGGCGAGUGGCGAACGGGUGAGUAAUGCGUCGGAACGUAUCCAAUAAUGGGGGAUAACGCAGCGAAAGCUGUGCUAAUACCGCAUACGCCCUCCGGGGGAAAGCAGGGGAUCUUAGGACCUUGCGUUAAUGGAGCGGCCGACGUCUGAUUAGCUAGUUGGUAGGGUAAAGGCCUACCAAGGCGACGAUCAGUAGCUGGUCUGAGAGGAUGAUCAGCCACACUGGGACUGAGACACGGCCCAGACUCCUACGGGAGGCAGCAGUGGGGAAUUUUGGACAAUGGGCGCAAGCCUGAUCCAGCCAUUCCGCGUGAGUGAAGAAGGCCUUCGGGUUGUAAAGCUCUUUCAGGAGGGAAGAAACGAUUGUGGCUAAUACCCAUGAUUAAUGACGGUACCUUCAGAAGAAGCACCGGCUAACUACGUGCCAGCAGCCGCGGUAAUACGUAGGGUGCGAGCGUUAAUCGGAAUUACUGGGCGUAAAGCGUGCGCAGGCGGUUUUUCAAGUCUGAUGUGAAAUCCCCGGGCUUAACCUGGGAACUGCGUUGGAAACUGAAAGACUAGAGUGCGGCAGAGGGGGGUAGAAUUCCACGUGUAGCAGUGAAAUGCGUAGAUAUGUGGAGGAAUACCGAUGGCGAAGGCAGCCCCCUGGGUCGACACUGACGCUCAUGCACGAAAGCGUGGGUAGCAAACAGGAUUAGAUACCCUGGUAGUCCACGCCCUAAACGAUGUCAACUAGUUGUUGGGGAGGGAGACCUCCUUAGUAACGCAGCUAACGCGUGAAGUUGACCGCCUGGGGAGUACGGUCGCAAGAUUAAAACUCAAAGGAAUUGACGGGGGCCCGCACAAGCGGNGGAUUAUGUGGAUUAAUUCGAUGCA
rnacentral:rRNA from 1 species